ACUCGUGGUGACAACAAUAAGCUACAAGCCAAACUGAUAUUAAAGUAUCAUCUGCAAACAAACACCACUUGCACAAAAUAUUUUUUAAUGUAUUGCUCAGCUCUCAGUAAGUCAGUUUCUGUGCUUUCCACAGGCUCCUCCCACAAGCACAGGCUCCUCCCUCUGAGCCUAUAUAACAUAUGGCGUCCUGUCCCUCGCAUUCUCUCCACCUCAGCAUUGAAGGAAAACUCUUCAUCUUCUGAUCCUCUUCUUCUGGUUUGCAGGUAAGAAAUACACAUCAUUCAUGCAGUUAGUCAUUUAACUAUGUAUUUUGUAAAAACAGAGCUACUUAAGCUUACAAACUCCUUAAAUAGUGUAAAAUUCUGAAAAAGACGCAUAAAGUUAGUUUGUCCCCCCCAAGGUUUUAAAGUUUUUAUUAAAUGAUUAAAGGGAAAAUAUUAUAUUCUUUCCCGGCACAUAGUGCCAUUUUAUAGCACUACAAGAAACUGUCAUAACCUCAGUUAAAACAAUUGAAAUUUUCAGAAAGCCAUCACAACAUGGCUCCUCUAUUAACCUUUAACAAUGUUUUUAACCAGCAUUGAACUGAGAAGUAGCUCGUUCCACCAGGUGUUUGCUAAUUGCUUCUGGCUAGUCUGAAGGAGCUGCUCUGUGAGCUUAGAAGCUUGAAAGAAGAAACUCCAAGGAGGGGUUGUGCCUUGUAGGCGGAGCUAGGUCCACGCAGGCGUUUUGCACAGCUGAAUGGUUGCCACGGGAAAUUAAAGGAUUUCUGAAACAUGCAUGAAGGAAUCAAGGCGACAUUCCAGGCUUGUUUCUAAUGAAGGAAUGACAUUACAAUAUGAUAUGAAGCUCAAAGAAGUCGAUUUUACAAAAUGCUUCACCUUUAAGAACUCAGAAGUUGUAGAUUUGUGGUGGAAAUGACAACAACACCUGUGUUUUAAAUCUCAAACUGACAGUUUUUAAAUUAGUGUUGUGAAUUACUACGCUUCAUUGUCAAAUUCUUGGCAUUUAUAUAUUUCUAAUAUCUGUUUUUGUUAUUUCUGUUUUAGUCUAUCAUGACGUGUGCUGCUGCUUUUCCUGGCCAGGUCAACCUUGUGAACCAAGUUUUGAUCUCAAGGGAUUUUUGUUUUUGAAUAUGUGAACAAUUUCAGUGGAGAAAAAAAACAUUAUUCUUAACCUGAAUCCAAUUUUGUAUUUGUUUUUUGUUUUCUGCAUUUCAGUAAUGACUUAAGACUAGAAAACAUGAUUAAAAUAAAAUAUCAGCUCUUUUACAAUCUGCUAAAAAUUAAAAAUAAAAAAUGUGUGUGAUCAAGUUGUGGAAAAGGUUCUCACGCACAGCAACACAUCAUUAUCAGCCCGAUGAAUAAUGAAUGAAAGACGACCAGCUGCUAUCAGGAAUUAUAUUAGCAUUGAAAGAAUGACUACUUACAGAACCACUGGGCCACUUUCUAUAAAAUUAUUGAAAUGGACAUUUGACUUCUGUUUACUGUUACAUGUUCAGUAACAAUAACAGAAGUCUGCAGAGCGCUGAGCUGUAAUACCAGCCCAGAUGCAAACAGAGACAGUGGGAUUUCAUAAUUACUGCAGAUUGAAAGCCUCUAAGCAACUGGUGUUGUUUUGAUCUAAUUGGACUUUUCUUCUGGAAGACUUUUCUAAUACCAAGCACCGUUCAUCACAUCUAAUGAAGAUUACUCACCAGGGUGAAAAAUUAGCAAAAUCAGCCUCCCAGAUGUAAUAUUGCAUUCCAGAAUAAUAAUCUAGCAGUGAUAUUCUGAGUGUGAGGAAAUAUUUCAUUGACAUCAUUUGUUAGAGGAAAUUUUCUUAAAAGAGGUAAUUAUAGACGAGGAAAAACAAAUAUGAUUUAGUCCCUCAGUGAGUUCAUUUUAAUAUAAUCUGGACCCAAAAAGCAAAACGCAGAACCAAAUUAAGAUGUGGAGAUAAUUAUCAUAUUUCCUUUGAGAUUUAUUCAUCGCUGACACUGCCACACUCAGUGUGUGUGCGUGUGCGUGCGUGUGUUGAACAGUAAAAUGUUCCAUCACUCAACCAGAGUGUAUAAAACAGACAAGAUGAUGUUUGCCGUAUUUUCAUCAAACAUUAAUCUCUUCUCCCCGUAUUGUUCUUUAGAAAUUAUAAAAGUAUUUAUUGCUAUUUUUAACUUUUUAACUCAACUCAAAUCAUCCGUUUCUUCCUAAUAGAAGCAAAUGUAACUGUGUGGUGUUCAUGUUCUGUUUUCUUUGUAUCCAGUCAUGAAUGUAGGUAUCUAUGUGUGUGUUAUCCUGGCUGCUUUGUCCAGUGGCUCCCUGAGUCUGCCUCCACAGUUGGUGGUAUGACACACACACAUACACCCCCCCACACACGCCCACACACGCACACACGCCUUGACACCAUAAGUCACAUAAAAGAGGGACUUUUUUUUUUUUUUAUCAGAGUACUUCAACACACUGUGACUAGACAGGCCAACAUGAAAGAAUGACAUAAGAAAAACAUCUAUUUGGGCCCUGGUUACUUCCAUGGUGGCACACAUAAAGAAAAUCAGCAUCAAGUUGAAUUAAAUUCCAAAGAAAUUUCCGUACGUCUUUCUUUCUUCUCCCAGACAGCUGAGAGUUCGUCUCACUCAAACAGCCUCCAUGCUCCGUCGCCCAACCGGAGGUGCCAGGUCCGCUUGGCUCCAGGGCCACCGUCAGUCCUGCACCGCUACCAUGACUCCAUCUACCCCCUCAGCCAUCACAACCAUUUCUAUGCUCCGCAACAUGCAAACAACCCACCCUCGUUCCUGGACAGAAUCGUCCGCAGGCAAAUCCCUCCUCCCUUGUUGUUCUGGGGCAUGCCUCAGCAAUUCCCCCGCAAGAAAAAGACUUAGAUGGCUGGAUGGAGAAAGUUAUGCAGAGAAGGAUGAACUCUUCUCGUGAUGGACCAGCUGGCUUUCUCCCGCGACCCAGUCACCGACCACAGCGCCACAUUGUGAUUUCCAGUUUUACAACACGCUUGAUUUAGAACACUGUAUUGAGUUUGGCAUCAAUCGACAACUUGCUGAAUAAAUCAGAUAAUGAUAGAUAUGAAAGAUUGAAUGCAGUAUUUUUCCUCAAAAUAAAUCAUUUCAUUAAAGGCAGACUCUCCA